UACGUAGGGUGCGAGCGUUGUCCGGAAUUACUGGGCGUAAAGGGCUCGUAGGUGGCCAACUAAGUCAGACGUGAAAUCCCUCGGCUUAACCGGGGAACUGCGUCUGAUACUGGAUGGCUUGAAUCCGGGAGAGGGAUGUGGAAUUCCAGGUGUAGCGGUGAAAUGCGUAGAUAUCUGGAGGAACACCGGUGGCGAAGGCGGCAUCCUGGACCGGUAUUGACGCUGAGGCGCGAAAGCCAGGGGAGCAAACGGG
rnacentral:rRNA from 1 species